AUGUGGGUCAGAGACACCUGGGUCCCCAACUAUGUGGGUCAGAGACACCAGAGCCCCAGAUCUGUGGGUCCCAGAGGUCUGUGUCCCCACAUAUAUGGGUGUCAGACACCUCUGUCCCCACAUAUGUGGGUCAGAGACACCUGGGUCCCCAGAUCUGUGGGUCCCAGCCCCCUGACCCCCCCCACAUGUGGGUCAGAGACACCAGAGCCCCAAAUAUAUGGGUCCCAGAGUCCCAUGUCCCCACAUAUGUGGGUCUGUAGUGUCUGUGUCCCCAGAUCUGUGGGUCCCAGACCUCUGAGCCCCCACACAUGUGGGUCAGAGACACCGGAGCCCCCAGAUCUGUGGGUCCCAGAGGUCCGUGUCCCCAAAUCUGUGGGUCCCAGUCUCCCAGGUCCCCAAAUAUGUGGGUCUGGAGUGUCUGUGUCCCCAGAUCUGUGGGUCAGAGACACCAAACCCCCAGAUCUGUGGGUCUGGAGUGUCCAUGUCCCCAGAUCUGUGGGUCCCAGAGGCCUGUGUCCCAAAUAUGUGGGUCAGAGACACCAGAGCCCCAAAUCUGUGGGUCCCAGCCCCCCGGGUCCCCACAUCUGUGGGUCUGGAGUCCCGUGUCCCCAGAUGUGUGGGUCCCAGCCCCUGCCCCAUAGCGCCGUGGGGCGGGCUCAGAUGAGGUCGGCGACGUUGAGGGGCAUCUCCUCGAUGCUGGUGUUGUAAAAGGUCUCGAUGUCGCGCAGCGUCCGACGAUCGUCCUCGGUCACCAUGUUGAUGGCCACGCCCUUCCGCCCGAAACGGCCCCCCCGCCCGAUGCUGGGGGAGGGGAGGGGUCAGAGAGACACCCCCCGCCCCUCCCCCACCCCAGAGACAC
rnacentral:lncRNA from 1 species